rnacentral:rRNA from 1 species
UGAGUAACCUGCCCUUAACUCUGGGAUAAGCCUGGGAAACUGGGUCUAAUACCGGAUAUGACUCCUCAUCGCAUGGUGGGGGUGAAAGUC